CAUAAUCUAGCCGGCAUUUUGUGCAAAGGAGCGUCCCACUCCCCCACACAUUACCGUAAAGAAUAAUUAAAUCUCUUUCAGUUGAAAACAACCGCAUCUGUUAUCAGAAAUCAUAAAGAGGCAAAGCAAUAAAACCGCCACACCGAUAUAACAUUGAUUGUUUUUGAUUGCAUCGCUGUUUGAUUGCGGUUCGCGCAAUUAAAUGAGAUGCUCGCUCUGCUCAGUAGAUAUUGGAUUCGAAAAUGUCUGUUUUCACUAUCUAUGUUGUUUGCUUAGGUCCGCUUUUCAUUGUGUCUUUAUCAAGCGCUGCUCACGAUUACGUCAAAUAUGGAAGACUCGACGAUGGAUCUUUUCCUUCAAACCUGAAGAAUAUGCCGUACUACUGCUAUCAAGUUCCUUUGAAAGGUCCAUGUAAAGGAGUGUUUCCUGUAUGGUUUUUUGACGUGGUAAGAAGAAAGUGCGUUCGUAUGAUUUAUUCCGGUUGUGGUGGUAAUGAAAAUCGGUUUACGUCGAAAGCUUCUUGUAACACGCAUUGUGAGAAAGGUCGACCUCUAUAAUAAUAAAAUUAAUAAACUUACGAUAUCAAAAUUAACCGAUUAA